rnacentral:misc_RNA from 1 species
UUAGCUAAUUCUCUAUUUCCCGCCUCUUUCUCUCCCACAGUCGCAGGGUCGGAGAUACUCUGUAUUGAAGGAUCAGAGGUAGAAGUAGGAGAUGUUGUGGGUGGACAAGUACAGACCCAAAACCCUAGACCAGGUUAUGGUCCACGAAGACAUUGCCCAAAACCUCAAGAAGCUGGUCACUGAACAAGACUGCCCCCAUUUGCUUUUCUAUGGCCCCUCCGGUUCUGGCAAGAAAACCCUAAUCAUGGCUCUUCUUCGUCAGAUUUUUGGUUCCAGCGCUGAAAAGGUGAAGGUGGAAAAUCGGACUUGGAAAAUCGAUGCGGGAAGUAGAACUAUCGAUUUGGAGCUUACUACAUUAUCAAGCACAAAUCACAUAGAGCUGAGUCCUAGUGAUGUAGGCUUCCAGGACAGGUAUGUUGUACAAGAGAUAAUCAAAGACAUGGCUAAGACUCGUCCAAUUGACAUAAAAGGGAAAAAAGGAUAUAAAGUACUAGUGCUCAAUGAGGUUGAUAAGCUUUCAAGAGAAGCACAAUAUUCUCUUCGUAGAACUAUGGAGAAGUACAGUGCCUCCUGCCGGCUGAUUCUAUGCUGCAACAGUUCUUCGAAGGUUACUGAAGCAAUUCGGUCUCGUUGUCUGAAUGUGCGAAUAAAUGCACCUUCAGAGGAACAGAUUGUUAAGGUAUUGGAGUUCAUUGGGAAGAAAGAAGGGCUGCAACUUCCUCCUGGAUUUGCUGUGCGAAUAGCAGAAAAAUCAAAUCGAAGUUUAAGGAGAGCCAUACUUUCAUUUGAGACUUGCCGUGUCCAACAGUUAAGUACCAAAGCACCUCUCACUGAUUAGUGUUGCCUCCUCCUUUUUCUUUACUGCAAAGAUAGAAAAUGUACUGUCACCUAGAUUCUUAUGAUUGUCUUCUGUGUUCUUCAUUUGACUGUAGAUAUCCUUUUACAAGUAAUCAAGCAAUACCUCCAAUGGACUGGGAGGAAUAUGUUUCUGAAAUAGCAUCUGACAUAAUGAGGGAGCAGAGUCCUAAAAAGUCUGGUUCUUUGCCAUAUGAUAUUCUCUGUAUGAUUUUUUUGGUGUUCUAAGCUACCUAUUUCUCUAUUUAAACUUUCUGAUCAAGCAAGUCCUCUGUAUACUUCAGGCUUUUUCAGGUUCGAGGGAAGUUGUAUGAACUACUAAUUAAUUGUAUUCCUUCUGAGAUUGUUUUGAAGGUAAAGACUUAGUGUAGUUUUCUGCUCCUUAUAUUUUCACUUUUCAUGUUGAACUUCAGUUAUGUUCUUAUCUCAGAGGCUGCUUUAUGAGUUAUUGAAGAAAUUGGAUGAGGAAUUAAAGCACGAGGUCUCCCAUUGGGCUGCAUAUUAUGAGCAUAGGAUGCGUCUUGGACAGAAAGCCAUAUUUCACCUUGAAGGUACAUAAUUCUUGCUGGAAACUAUUGUGAGAGAAUCAGCUGCUACAAAAGUAAACUUAUUGUCAUGCUUUGCUUCCGUUCUUCUCCAAAGUUAUGAAGUUUGUAAUGAAAACAUCAUUUCAUUUUAGCAUGUCAGCUGUUGGGAAAUAUUUGUCUAAGUUUUAUAUUUCAGAAAACUUCUGACCAAUAACAUGCAUGCACUAUGGCCUUCUUUCUCCCCCUGUUCUUCCACGUCAGCUACUAAAUUUUUUGCUAAAAAUAUUUUUUCAUGCAUCAUAAUUUUUCUUUAACAUGUUCAAGACAUGUAAUGUGCACCCAUUCCAUCAGCUAUAAUUUACUCAUGACAGCAUAAUUUUGCUCAACCGUGUUUUAACUGUUUACUUGGGUGAACUUACCCUGACUGGCUCUUGGAUGGUGCUUAUCUUGAUUAAUUUUGCAGCUUUUGUGGCUAAGUUCAUGAGCAUUUAUAAGGCUUUUCUCAUUGCAACAUUUGGAUGAAGAAAAUAGCAGCAUUCUUGUGUGCGAUGUUUGAAUGUGUUGAAGACCAUGCUAUUAAUUCAGUUGCACUGAAGUUCCGGUGUUUUCGUCUGUAAUCAGUUGUGAUCAGAUGAGCAAAAUUUUUAUUUUCUACUUUUGCACCAUUUCUAAUUUAUAGCAUGUAAUGAGAUUCAGAUCUUUGUUCUUCGGCUCUUGCAUGGGUUCAUGCCUUUCCCUUCUGCACUGCACCUGCCACUGUACAAAGAGUGUCUAUACGAGCUUUAUUUCUAUCAAAGCAUAAAUUGCGGGGAGAUGGUUGUAGAGGGUCUGAUAGAAACUCUUUAAUCAACCUUCUUAUAAUAGAAUGACUAGAUUGAUUUUAAUAACAA